rnacentral:misc_RNA from 1 species
UCUCCGUAGGUGAACCUGCGGAGGGAUCAUUACCGAGCGAGGGCCUCCGGGCCCGACCUCCCACCCCUUGAUAGACGUCUGGUCUUCCUCGGGGGGCGACCCGGACGCGUCCGGGUCUCCCCGGGAGUCACCCACUCUACGUCCUUUGCGUCGGAGUGCAACGGUAAAAUAUCAAAACUUUCAACAACGGAUCUCUUGGUUCUGGCAUCGAUGAAGAACGCAGC